UACGUAGGCGGCGUCAUAAGUCGUGCGUGAAAGGCAGGGGCUCAACCUCUGGAGUGCGCGUGAUACUGUGAUGCUGGAGUAAUGGAGGGGGAACCGGAAUUCUUGGUGUAGCAGUGAAAUGCGUAGAGAUCUGGAGGAAUACCGAUGGCGAAGGCAGCCAUCUGGCCUAAUACUGACACUGAGGUGCGAAAGCGUGGGGAGCAAACA
rnacentral:rRNA from 1 species